UUCGCACACUGGCGCAGUUGAUCCAAGCGUUCGCUGCCUUCCCCGCCAGCCAGUCUCGCUUUGAGCGCCAACACGUGUGCAUGUGUCGCUGAAUUAUAAUUCCAAGCUUGUUUACAAAUAGAAGGUGAACUCACGUUGUUACCAGGAUAACCGUGACAGAACACAACAAUGGAAAGCUGGCUAGACGAUAUAAAGCGUGUCAAAAUUCCGCGGCCGAAGUUCGCCACCAAGUACCCGGUUGAACCGCCCAAAGAUUACUUAGAGGACAGCGAUCUAAGUGGGAAGCCGCGACGACAUGACAAAGACUUAACAAAGGCCACGGAAGAAUUGCGUAGGACGUUACAAGAGAAACUAUGACCUGUCACAGCGGACCUAGGAUUAAUUUAACUUUAUGUUGCCGCUCGGCAUAACGAAACCCACGCGCAGUGCACUUCUUUAGUAUAUAUUUAAUUUGUUUGCAAUUAUGGAGCACUUUGAAAGGGCAAGUACGUAAAGAAGGUAAAUGUAUUAUUGGAUCAUCAAAAUUGCCCAAAAUAUUGUUAAAAUUUGAUUAUGAUAAAGAGGCCAGAAUGGAAACAAUUACAGUCAAGACUUGAAGUGCCUAAAUGAUAUAGAGAGUACAAUAAAAAAAAUCGGUAAAUUGACAAAAUGUAUCGAAAACCACAAUUCAUAAACAGCGAAUAAUAUAAAUAUACCACGAUAACAUUUUCUAAUGAGGCAUUCAAUUAAUUUCUGUCACAGUAAAAGUUUACAUGAUCCCUUUAUUUAUUGCAUUGAUUUGAUUAAAAUAAAUAAUUUCACUUUAACAGUGUAUUAGGAGAAAUAUUUCAAAAUAUACCUUUAUGUGAAAUUCAUAGGUUCGGUUUGUAGCCUGUUACUGAAUUUUAAUUAUAUUGUAAGUAACAAUGCAACAUAAGCAUCAGUAUUAAUUGUAGACGAACAAUGUACAGUUAGUAAUCAUUUACAAUAAGAGCAUUGACUAUUUUCUUUACAAAGUAAAAUAACGCUUUUCCAAAGGACAGUUCAAGGAGACAUCCAUUAAUCCUUUAUUGUACUAACUCAAUUUGCUAUGCAAUUUAUUAGCUGACUGUAUAUUGUUAUUUAGAUUUAAUCUAUUAUGUAAUGCUAUUAGCUUCUACUAGUUUUAUUAUAUUAGACUGAUAUUAAGUUAGAUUAAUGGAGGUUGAAUCUCUGCGAGUAUCAAAUACUGUUACGAUUAAAUAUAUUAAUUGUUUUUAA